ensembl:lncRNA novel transcript
CAUUUGGGUCAAGAAAAGAAUAUGUAGGAGAGCUAUGUUGCUUUAACAAGAAAAUGGACAAAAAUGGAUAGUUUGCCUCAUUAAAGAACACGCAUGCUCGCAGAAGCCAUUACAAUCCCGUCGUGCAGCAGCCUGUGCUAUUGACCAGCCUAGAAGUCAUUUUUCGACUCAAGGGGAGAAGGGUGGGUUUCUGCUCUUUCCUUGCACCAUCUGAAGGACACGGCAGAAGAUAAAGGAAAAUGGCCAUGAGAUGCUCCAGCGGAGCUGGGUCCAAGGCCUGGCGCUCACCAAAGAUUGCACUACUCUCAGCAUGGUACAGGAAGACAACUGAUGGGACAAUGCAAGCUGGGACAAUCUCCAACCCAAAGGGUAUCUCAGAAAACAGCACUAGGUGAGACCACAGCACAACCCCAGUCAACCUUUAAAUCAGAAAAGGAGCUGGAGGAUGCAAUUCAUUGAUGUAUAGAAAGUUUUAAAAAGUAAAAACUGAAAUACAGAAAACAAAGUUUGCAAUGUGUAAGAAAUAAAGGACUGAAAUUUGUACCUA